GAGUAAUGUCUGGGAAACUGCCUGAUGGAGGGGGAUAACUACUGGAAACGGUAGCUAAUACCGCAUAACGUCGCAAGACCAAAGAGGGGGACCUUCGGGCCUCUUGCCAUCGGAUGUGCCCAGAUGGGAUUAGCUAGUAGGUGGGGUAACGGCUCACCUAGGCGACGAUCCCUAGCUGGUCUGAGAGGAUGACCAGCCACACUGGAACUGAGACACGGUCCAGACUCCUACGGGAGGCAGCAGUGGGGAAUAUUGCACAAUGGGCGCAAGCCUGAUGCAGCCAUGC
rnacentral:rRNA from 1 species